rnacentral:rRNA from 1 species
AUUGAACGCUGGCGGAAUGCUUUACACAUGCAAGUCGAACGGCAGCACGGGGGCAACCCUGGUGGCGAGUGGCGAACGGGUGAGUAAUACAUCGGAGCGUGCCCGGUCGUGGGGGAUAACGUAGCGAAAGUUACGCUAAUACCGCAUACGAUCUGAGGAUGAAAGCGGGGGACCUUCGGGCCUCGCGCGAUCGGAGCGGCCGAUGUCAGAUUAGGUAGUUGGUGGGGUAAAGGCCUACCAAGCCGACGAUCUGUAGCUGGUCUGAGAGGACGACCAGCCACACUGGGACUGAGACACGGCCCAGACUCCUACGGGAGGCAGCAGUGGGGAAUUUUGGACAAAGGGCGCAAGCCUGAUCCAGCCAUUCCGCGUGCAGGACGAAGGCCUUCGGGUUGUAAACUGCUUUUGUAUGGAACGAAAAGGCUCUGGCUAAUACCUGGGGCUCAUGACGGUACCGUAAGAAUAAGCACCGGCUAACUACGUG